AACGAACGCUGGCGGCGCGCCUAAUACAUGCAAGUCGAGCGAGAAGACGUAGCAAUACGUUUGUAAAGCGGCGAACGGGUGAGGAAUACAUGGGUAACCUACCCUCGAGUGGGGAAUAACUAGCCGAAAGGUUAGCUAAUACCGCGUACGCUCCUUGGACUUCGGUUCAGGGAGGAAAGCGAUACCGUGGGGUAUCGCGCUC
rnacentral:rRNA from 1 species